GACGAACGCUGGCGGCGUGCUUAACACAUGCAAGUCGAGCGGAAAGGCCCUGCUUUUGUGGGGUGCUCGAGUGGCGAACGGGUGAGUAACACGUGAGUAACCUGCCCUUGACUUUGGGAUAACUUCAGGAAACUGGGGCUAAUACCGGAUAGGAGCUCCUGCUGCAUGGUGGGGGUUGGAAAGUUUCGGCGGUUGGGGAUGGACUCGCGGCUUAUCAGCUUGUUGGUGGGGUAGUGGCUUACCAAGGCUUUGACGGGUAGCCGGCCUGAGGGGGUGACCGGCCACAUUGGGACUGAGAUACGGCCCAGACUCCUACGGGAGGCAGCAGUGGGGAAUAUUGCACAAUGGGCGGAAGCCUGAUGCAGCAACGCCGCGUGCGGGAUGACGGCCUUCGGGUUGUAAACCGCUUUCGCCUGUGACGAAGCGUGAGUGACGGUAAUGGGUAAAGAAGCACCGGCUAACUACGUG
rnacentral:rRNA from 1 species